CAGUCGCCGCGGGAAUACGGAGGGGGCUAGCGUUGUUCGGAAUUACUGGGCGUAAAGCGCACGUAGGCGGCUUGGUAAGUUAGAGGUGAAAGCCCGGAGCUCAACUCCGGAAUUGCCUUUAAGACUGCCGAGCUAGUAGGUGAGAGAGGUAAGUGGAAUUCCGAGUGUAGAGGUGAAAUUCGUAGAUAUUCGGAAGAACACCAGUGGCGAAGGCGGCUCACUGGCCCGUUGUUGACGCUGAGGUGCGAAAGCGUGGGGAGCAAACAGGAUUAGAUACCCCGGUAGUCCCUGUCUCUUAUAC
rnacentral:rRNA from 1 species